rnacentral:rRNA from 1 species
CCUACGGGUGGCAGCAGUGAGGAAUAUUGGUCAAUGGACGAGAGUCUGAACCAGCCAAGUAGCGUGAAGGAUGAAGGCCCUAUGGGUUGUAAACUUCUGUUAUAUGGGAAUAAAAUGUUCCACGUGUGGGAUUUUGUAUGGACCAUAUGAAUAAGGAUAGGCUAACUCCGUGCCAGCAGCCGCGGUAAUACGGAGGAUCCGUGCGUUAUCCGGAUUUAUUGGGUUAAAAGGGAGCGUAGGUGGCUUGUUAAGUCAGUUGUGAAAGUUUGCGGCUCAACCGGAAAAUUGCAGUUGAAACUGGCAGUCUUGAGUACAGUAGCGGUGGGCGGAAUUCGUUGUGUAGCGGUGAAAUUCUUAGAUAUCACG